UGCGUAGGCGGACUAAUAAGUCAGUGGUGAAAUCUCUCGGCUCAACCGGGAAACUGCCAUUGAUACUGUUAGUCUUGAGUUCGGUUGAGGUAGGCGGAAUGUGUAAUGUAGCGGUGAAAUGCUUAGAUAUUACACAGAACACCAAUUGCGUAGGCAGCUUACCAGACCGACACUGACGCUGAGGCACGAAAGCGUGGGUAGCGAACAGGAUUAGAUACCCUGGUAGUCC
rnacentral:rRNA from 1 species